rnacentral:rRNA from 1 species
AAAAAUUGUAAAUUUUAUUACCUAAUUAGUAUUAGAGUACUUGAAAAUUAAAAAUUUUGGCGGUGUUUAGACUAUUCAGAGGAAUCUGUUCUAUAAAUGAUGUUCCACGAUUAUUAAUACUUUAUUUUUUAUUUUGUAUAUCGUUGUUAUAAGAAGAUUUUAUUAGAAUUUAAAUUUUCUCAUUAUUUUAUAAAAUUUUAUUUCAAAUCAAGGUGCAGAUUAUAAUUGAGGAGAAAUGGAUUACAAUUUAGUUAUAAUUGGUUUAAGUUUAGGGUAUAAUUUAAUAAAUUGGAUUUGAUAGUAAUAUUAGAUUUAUAUCUAAUAUGAUUAAAGUUCUUGAACAUGC